UAAGGAAAACUGCUUAAUAGAGAUCAUUCACAAUAAAAAUCACAGUGUAUUUAAAUUAAUUAUAUAAAAACAAUAAUAGCCCUUUAUAUUCAAAU